rnacentral:tRNA from 1 species
AGCUGUAGCUCAGUGGAAGAGCGCUUGCUUAGCAUGCGUGAGACACUGGGUUUCAUCCUCAGCACUGUUA